AACGCACAUUGCGCCCUUUGGCAUUCCGAAGGGCAUGCCUGUUCGAGCGUCAUUAUCACCCCUCAAGCCAUGGCUUGGUGUUGGAAUCUCAGUUGAGUGAUCAACUGGUUCCCAAAGACAAUGACGGAGUCCGUGGGACCCUCGGUGCAAUGAGCUUUAACCGGCACGCAUCAGAGUUGAAAGGCCCCUCGGCACGGUCUUCCACUUUAUUUUCUAAGGUUGACCUCGGAUCAGGUAGGACUACCCGCUGAACUUAA
rnacentral:misc_RNA from 1 species